GCCGCGGUAGUAUAGCCCGGUCAAGUAUGCGGGCCUCUCGAGCCCGUGACACUAUCUCAAGUGCGGGAAACCCGGGUUCAAAUCCCGGCCGCGGCA
rnacentral:tRNA from 1 species